UACGUAGGGGGCGAGCGUUGUCCGGAUUUAUUGGGCGUAAAGAGCUCGUAGGCGGUUCGAUAAGUCGGAUGUGAAAUCUCCGCGCUCAACGUGGAGGGGCCAUUCGAUACUGUCGUGACUCGAGUCCGGUAGGGGAGUGUGGAAUUCCCGGUGUAGCGGUGAAAUGCGCAGAGAUCGGGAGGAACACCGGUGGCGAAGGCGGGUCUCUGGGCCGAUAUCGACGCUGAGGAGCGAAAGCGUGGGGAGCGAACAGG
rnacentral:rRNA from 1 species